AACGAACGCUGGCGGCAGGCUUAACACAUGCAAGUCGAACGCCCCGCAAGGGGAGUGGCAGACGGGUGAGUAACGCGUGGGAAUCUACCCAGAUCUUCGGAACAACUGAGGGAAACUUCAGCUAAUACCGGAUACGCCCUACGGGGGAAAGAUUUAUCGGAUCUGGAUGAGCCCGCGUUGGAUUAGCUAGUUGGUGGGGUAAUGGCCUACCAAGGCGACGAUCCAUAGCUGGUCUGAGAGGAUGAUCAGCCACACUGGGACUGAGACACGGCCCAGACUCCUACGGGAGGCAGCAGUGGGGAAUAUUGGACAAUGGGCGAAAGCCUGAUCCAGCCAUGCCGCGUGAGUGAUGAAGGCCUUAGGGUUGUAAAGCUCUUUCAGUAGGGAAGAUAAUGACGGUACCUACAGAAGAAGCCCCGGCUAACUUCGUGCCAGCAGCCGCAGUAA
rnacentral:rRNA from 1 species